UAGUGCCGGGACCGAAUCCCUCUGCUGACAAUGACUUCGGCGUCACCAUGAUGAUGGUGGGCUGGCUGGUCCUAGCACUGGUUUUGUUCUUGAUGAGACCCACCAGCUUAAGGAGAUCGAUUACUACUGAAAAGCCGUCUCGCCCGCAUAGCGGACAAGAUCCACCGGCUCCAGCCGUCGACUGAGGUUUCCUGGAACAGCUUAACAAGUUUAAUCUUCAGUGACCAAAAGAACGAACGUGAUCACAGCAUUCCUUAUCCUUGGACAGUAGGGUUCUGUUCUGUACAUAGAAUAUCCAUUUUCUUUUUUUUCUAUUUCUUAAAUGACAUUUAAAUGGAUUACAGUAACUUAAUGUGGUGGGAAGUGACAGCGAUGAGCGUUGCGCUUCUGCCCACUGCAAUAUUUAAAGAAAAAAAAAAGUUAAAUCUCUCUCUUGAUAAUCGGUUGAACCUGUUCAGACUAGUGGGUUUUCUUUUUCCUAUCUGUUUAGAGAUUAAAAAUUACAGUACAUUCCUC